GGCAGCCGGGCGUAGUGCUGGCCACCCACCCCCCUCGUGUGCCAUCCCAGCCUUCAUAGGUGCUCGCUAACGGCACUUGCCCCAACAGUCUGGUAAGGCUAUACGGGGCAUCUUUGUCUUUGGGUGCGAUGGCGCCGAUCAUACAUGGCGCAGAGCUUCUCGGUGUGCGUUUCGUCACAUUUGGCUCCACGUUAGCAAAGAGUAAUGAUCCCUUCCUCCCCGCGAGCUGUCCUCGUACCCUGAGGUUUUCUUUUGGCGAAGGCAACCUUCGCUGUCAACUAAGGUACUGCUCUAGUUUUUCCCCUUUCCUCUUUGUGUGAUAAAUUUACCCAUCACUCUUGUUAACUUGUGUUCAGUGAUGCCCCCUUACCGAGUGCCAUGCACGCGUAUCGGGAUGUCUGGGAGGAUUUGCAAUUAUUUUCUUGCCGUUUUUUUUUUACUGAGCUCAUUUCAGAGGGGCGCCACGGUAGUUAACAUCCAAAUAUUCAAAACGUGCGUCGAGAUAAUUUUGCUGCUGUAAAUUUCUACGCGACAAGCCACCUCGUUGAGCUAUCAUUUGUGAUGGCCAGGUCACUUAUGAAAAAGAGCUACAUAGCUCAGUGGGCCUUGGUAAAAUAAAAAAAUAUAAUUUCAUUAUUUUUGUAAUUAAAAAAUCUAGUUGUGGAAGGCGAUGUUGCAAGCGUGCGUGCGUGCUCGGCGUGCGUGUACACCUACACGUGUCGUAUCAGUAUGUCUGUGGACGUGGGUGUGCAACCUACGCAUUUGAGGAGUGCGUGUCGUGUGCUGGGCUUUUUGCGCGUAGUAAUUUUCGUGUGCAUGUUUGCAAUAGCUUGGCAUUUCCUCCCCUGGCACGGGGGAGGCCUGUUCCGUUCAUUACAGUGUUGAGGGGUCGCUGCCAAAAUGCGGUUAAACCGUGAAGCGACUGCGGUAUUCUGACCCUUUCCCUCUCUUCUUUAGCUGUUAAUUGUGCGCAGGAUACAUCCUAUGCCAAUGAGAAUGCCAAGAUUUCCACUCAUCUGAGCUUUCCCACCCACUCCAUAUUCUAGGCACUGUAACCACAAAUCAAUUAAGUUAAAUGAGCUUGGCCAAUUAAGAGUUUGUCCGUGGGUUUGUGUAUUCGUACGUUUGUGUUUGUAGGUGUGCGUACAAACGCAAGUCUUUGUAUCAAGAUGUUUACUUUGUAGGGCUGCAUGGCUUAAAUGCCUUUACAGACUUGUUAUGUAAGGUUGUGUUUGUUUCCAUAAAGCAUACAGUGCAUGUGUAACUUACAUAAUUGAACUAAACUUAAAGCUGCUAAAUUUGUGGAAUAAUUAAGCUGAAGAGACCUUGUUAUUCACCCGAGGUUUUUUAUUCACCAAAAAGGCUAAACUUUCUAUUCCAAAAUGAGAACGCAAUGAGGUUUGGACUGACCCAAACUCCACAAAACACCGAUCCGGUUUAUCCACUGGCGCACGAGGGCAGUUUGCCCUCCUUUGUGAAUGAAAACCCAGCCUCAAUCUGAAGUCAUGCAACGUAGCCCUGCCUCAUUUGAGCGCAGUGGCUUCACAACUCCAAACCAUGCCAAACGGGGCACUUGCUUUCAUGGCACAGCUGCCCUCAUCGGGACCCACCUUCCUUCCUUGUAUUGUCCCCCACGGCUGAACGGCGCUCAACACUCAUUCCGCGCCGGUCGUAAUUGCAACGUGCCGUCGGUGAAAUCGGGAAUUUGGCCAUGCAGAGACGGCGCACGCGCGCGGCGCGCAGAGUUGUAAAAGUCCGUCGUUGUGCACGCGGACUUGUUCGCGCCGCUUCGUUGCGGGGUCAGCUCGCGGCUGAGGAUCCCUGCGUUCAAAGGCCACAAGCGUGGGUUGUCGAACACUGGGCGACUCCGCCGCUGUGCUUGCGUGACGCGAGCGCUUCUUCACUCUGCUCCCUUACACGAUUAGCGCGGUUGGCUACGUACGGUGCGAAAGAGGUUCACCGUGCAUUCAUGCGUACACAGGCGCGCUCGUACUUACACCGUUGGCGUCUCUUGUUUUCAACUUGCGUUUAGCCGUGGCCCCCAUCGUGAUUGUAUCAGCAGGUCACUGACCCCAAUUCGGGUCACUGCCACACGACUGGGAAGCCCUGCCGCCCUUUCUCAUUGUGAUAAAAGUCUGCCGUCUGUUUUCAUGUAUCGUUUUGUAUUUUGAGAGAAUCGCUGUGUUGUGAGUGCACCCGGGCGUAAUUACUCGCAAGGAUGGAACGAUGUGGUCGGGAGCACCGUGCAGGCUCAUGGGAUCUGGCCCAUAUUUAUCUGCGCAUGUUUGAAGAAAGGUCCCUUGGCAGACGCCCAUGAUACAGAUUAACAUUCGGUGAAUCACAAAGUGCCCCGGGACCCAGUUACAAAAAUGUAAAAAACGGUGCUUUCCCAACAGUUUUCGCCACCCGCGUGUAACUCGUAACGCUUUUGCCCAGCUUGUGACGACCUAAAAAAAUAUAUAUACACCGCUGCUCUGCUAAGCACUGAAGGAUGUGGUGUGACUUUUGAGUUAAAUAAAAAAAAAGGUUGCUUAGGCUACGCAUGGACGAGGAAGUCAAAUUUGCACAAACAUUUAUUGAGUGUGUCCUCUAGGUCACUUAAUUUUCGAUUUUAAAACUGUACCCCUCGCAAAUCCAACACGUGACACUUUGUGCGUGCGCGUGCACGCGCGGCGACGCAAACGCGCGACGUGAUGUACAUAUGUAAAGUUAAACGUGCGCGUGUGUCGCGUUCGAUCCCAUUGACGAUGCCAGCAGGCGCCAGAAAGAAUGUACGCUUGCCUCCUCUAUACAUUACGUGUAAAUGACAUCAGUAAACGGUAUACAAUUGUAGAAAACGUGUUUUAAAGUUAUAUUUAUAUGUAGAUGUCAGUCGUGGAUUAUGGAGACGUCGAAACAAAGGAAAAUAAACCAGGAAACUGAAAAA